rnacentral:rRNA from 1 species
UCCCUGAUGUUAGCGGCGGACGGGUGAGUAACACGUGGGUAACCUGCCUGUAAGACUGGGAUAACUCCGGGAAACCGGGGCUAAUACCGGAUGGUUGUUUGAACCGCAUGGUUCAAACAUAAAAGGUGGCUUCGGCUACCACUUACAGAUGGACCCGCGGCGCAUUAGCUAGUUGGUGAGGUAACGGCUCACCAAGGCAACGAUGCGUAGCCGACCUGAGAGGGUGAUCGGCCACACUGGGACUGAGACACGGCCCAGACUCCUACGGGAGGCAGCAGUAGGGAAUCUUCCGCAAUGGACGAAAGUCUGACGGAGCAACGCCGCGUGAGUGAUGAAGGUUUUCGGAUCGUAAAGCUCUGUUGUUAGGGAAGAACAAGUACCGUUCGAAUAGGGCGGUACCUUGACGGUACCUAACCAGAAAGCCACGGCUAACUACGUGCCAGCAGCCGCGGUAAUACGUAGGUGGCAAGCGUUGUCCGGAAUUAUUGGGCGUAAAGGGCUCGCAGGCGGUUUCUUAAGUCUGAUGUGAAAGCCCCCGGCUCAACCGGGGAGGGUCAUUGGAAACUGGGGAACUUGAGUGCAGAAGAGGAGAGUGGAAUUCCACGUGUAGCGGUGAAAUGCGUAGAGAUGUGGAGGAACACCAGUGGCGAAGGCGACUCUCUGGUCUGUAACUGACGCUGAGGAGCGAAAGCGUGGGGAGCGAACAGGAUUAGAUACCCUGGUAGUCCACGCCGUAAACGAUGAGUGCUAACUGUUAGGGGGUUUCCGCCCCUUACUGCUGCAGCUAACGCAUUAAGCACUCCACCUGGGGGAGUACGGUCGCCAAGACUGAAACUCCAAAAGAAUUGACAGGGGGCCCGCCACAAGCUUUUGGACCAUGUAGUUUUAGUUCAAAACCAGCGCGCAAAAACCUUUACCAGGGUCUUGGACGUCCCUCUAGACAAUCCCUAAGAAGUAUGGAAAUUCCCCCUUCCGCCGGGCGGAAGUGCCACAAGUUUGUUAA